rnacentral:rRNA from 1 species
CAGAGGGUGCAAGCGUUGUUCGGAAUUAUCGGGCGUAAAGCGCGUGUAGGCGGCUUAGCAAGUCGGGCGUGAAAGCCCUCGGCUCAACCGAGGAAGUGCACCCGAAACUGCUGAGCUUGAGUGCCGGAGAGGAUGGCGGAAUUCCCCAAGUAGAGGUGAAAUUCGUAGAUAUGGGGAGGAACACCGGUGGCGAAGGCGGCCAUCUGGACGGUAACUGACGCUGAGACGCGAAAGCGUGGGGAGCAAACAGGAUUAGAUACCCUGGUAGUCCACGCCGUAAACGAUGAGAACUAGAUGUCGCGGGUGUUGACCCCUGCGGUGUCGCAGCUAACGCAUUAAGUUCUCCGCCUGGGAAGUACGGUCGCAAGAUUA